AGGCAGAGUGCAAUCCACUGCACCACUGAGGCGAUGACAAUAUACAAUAAUCAAUCAUCAAUAAAUAGGAUAUACAUGACAUUAAAAUGUAUGUGUGUAUUUCUAUUAUUUCCCUUAUGUUUUUUUUUCAUGACGACCGAUAAAAAACGACAGUGUUACCCCCUAUAUUUUAUUUGAUAAAUAUCGACAGUGUUGCAGCUUAUGUUUUUUUUUCAUGACGACCAAUAAAAAACAACAGUGUUACCCCUUAUGUUUUUAUUCAUGACGACCAAUAAAAAAACAACAGUGUUACCCCCCAUGUUUUAUUUGAUAAAUAUCAACAGUGUUACCCCUUAUGUUUUUUUUCACGACGACCAAUAAAAAAACAACAGUGUUUCCCCCCAUGUUUUAUUUUAUGACGACCAAUAAAAAACAACAGUGUUACCCCUUAUGUUUUUUUUCAUGACGACCAAUAAAAAAAAAACAGUGUUACCCCUUAUGUUGUACCCCUGUCGACGUAUUUGCGGGGAUCCGUACCUGAGCUGUUUAGAGUGUUAACCUCCGAGCUCAUCAAUGCACCAUCAAGACACCGUAAAAAUUCAACACAAUGGUUAUACUUGACUUUAUAAUUCACAUUAAAUAGAAAUAAGAGUCUUCCAUCAGAGGGCAUCAACCAGACUUGAACCCCGGUCUUCAGGGGGUUCGCGCACAGCUCUCUCCACAUCCCACUGAGAUUUGUUAUAUAUAUAUGUAUGUGGUUAUAUAUGACAGUGUAAUAGACAUGAUAGCAUUACGUUUAAAAUUAAAGAUAUUGUGUAUUCCACAGAAAUUGAACCCCGGUCUCCAGUGGGUUAGGCAGAGUGCACUCCACUGCACCACUGAGGCGAUGACAAUACACAAUAUUCAAUCAUCAAUAAAGAGAAUAUACAUGACAUUAAAAUGUAUGUGUGUAUUUCUAUUAUUUCCCUUAUGUUUUUUUUCAUGACGACCAUUAAAAAAACAACAGUGUUACCCCUUAUGUUUUUUUUCGUGACGACCAAAUAAAAAACAACAGUGUUUACCCCUUAUGUUUUUAUUCAUGACGACCAAUAAAAAAACAACAGUGUUAACCCUUAUGUUUUUUUUCAUGACGACCAAUAAAAAAACAACAGUGUUACCCCUUAUGUUUUUUUUCAUGACGACCAAUAAAAAACAACAGUGUUACCCCUUAUGUUUUUUUUUUUCAUGACGACCAGUAAAAAACAACAAUGUUACCCCUUAUGUGUUUUUUUUUAUGACGACCAGUAAAAACAACAAAUGUUACCCCUUAUAUUUUUUUUUCAUGACGACCAAUAAAAAACAACAGUUAUUAUGUUUUUUUCAUGACGACCAAUAAAAAACAACAGUGUUACCCCUUAUGUAUUUUUUCAUGACAACCAUAAAAAACAACGGUGUUACCCCUUAUGGUUUUUUUCAUGACGACCAAAGAAAAAUGAGUGUCACCCCUCAUGUUUCAUUUGAUAAAAACGACAGUGUUACCCCCCCAUGUUUUAAUUGAUAAAUAUCGACAGCGUUACCCCUUAUGUUUUUUCAUGACGACCGAUAAAAAACGACAGUCUUACCCCUUAUGUUUCAUUUGAUAAAAACGACAGUGUUAACCCUUGUGUUUUUUUUUCAUGACGACCGAUAAAAAAACAACAGUGUCACCCCCUAUCUUCUAUUCAGUUUUCUGAACAAAUUAAUACUUUUUUUUUUUUGUAUAAUUUUAUCAUACAACAUGAUUUUUUAUUAAAUUAUUGACAUCCACCCUUUUUCUGAUAUUUAUCAUAUUAUCAUUUCAUUUUAUUUAGAACAUUGUCUGUGUAGGCUGACGUAGGCUAUGACGCACAACGCAGAACUGUCCAUAGCUGAAUAUGGUACUAUGCUGAUUUUACAUAAGCAUGUUGGUGUUCAACAUCUGUUGUAAGUGAACAUUCUAAAACUGGUUUAAAAAUGUUGCUGCCAUAUUAAUAGACACGUUGAAUGUUAUCGUUUUGAUUCUGGAAUCCCGC
ensembl:lncRNA